GCAGUCGUGGCUGAGUGGUUAAGGCGAUGGACUAGAAAUCCCCAUUGGGGUCUCCCCGCACAGAUUUGAAUCCUGUCGACUGCG
rfam:Ixodes scapularis strain Wikel colony gcontig_1108378513558, whole genome shotgun sequence.